AUUGUAUUAAAAUCACUUGGAGUUGCAACCUUAACCAUACUCCUUUUCUUUUGUCAAUUGCUGCCAUGUUAUUCAAUGAGCUUGCAGUUUGGAGAGACUAAAUACUUAUUCUUCAUCAGCUCUUUUUGCUAAUGCCACAUAUACUGCUUUUACUGCUAGUAAAUUUUAGUUUUUAUAUCAAAUUGUAGUUGAACAUGGGGUCUUUUUCUUUUCCAUUUUGUAUCAAAUAGUUCUUCAAGUAAAGGAGAUCCAGGUAAUGAAGUCUCAUGGUUGACCCUUUGGAAGCAAAACGGUUAGCCGCCAAGCAAAUGGAACAAAUUAAGGCUAAAGAGAAAAUAAAGGUAAAAAGGGUUUUAUUUUAAUGAAAAUCUAGCUUAUUUUUUAUUGUAUAUCAUAUGGUGCCACUAAGAAACCGGGGCGUGCAAUUGCCUGUUGAAUUUCUAAUAGAAGCUUUUAAAUUGAACAAAAUUUUCUAGAACCUCUGUUAUCCUUUCAUUUUCCCACUUGCACAUGUGGUUCUUCCGAAGUCAACUCUUUCCAAGUGUGGUAUUCUAUCCAAGUUACUACUUAGGCCCCUUCUGUUUUUUCUUGUUCUUCUCAUUGGUUUGCUCGAGGUGUGCCAGCAAGGCGGCACGUAUUUUGUUUUUACAAGUCUUUUAUGGUAAGAGUAGAUGGCGUAGUCAUAGGGCAUGAUUUUUGCAUCAAAUGUUUUUUUAAAGGUGUUUCCUUGAACAUUCUUGUUAAUCGAGGCGAUUAAUGGGGCGUGGGCAAUGAUUGGUCUCACAGCAGGCUAGUUAUUGAAGGACAAACAGGAAAAAGUAUUCUCGAGCAGUUGGCGGGGUAUGUGUCCGCGAUCAUCCACAUUUUGUGCGAUAGGCUUGGACAAUUUGGGCAAAGCAAAGGUCAUUCUUGAAAACUAUUUUUCAUAUCAACAGUUCUUUCAUCAUAUUAUAUUGACUUCAUAAGUUUUUAUUUGUAUGUCCUCCUGCUUUUCACGAACCUGUCAACAAACUGUAAUCAUUCUUUAUAUAGCAAAUGACAUCAUUACUGGUUCGAAA